UACGUAGGUGGCAAGCGUUACUCGGAAUUACUAGGCGUAAAGCGCGUGUAGAUGGUCAUGUAAGUCGGUCGUGAAAGCUCCUGGCUCAACUGGGAGAGGUCGAUCGAAACUGCUUGGCUUGAGUGUAUGAGAGGAAUCUGGAAUUCCCGGUGUAGCGGUGAAAUGCGUAGAUAUCGGGAGGAAUACCUAUGGCGAAGGCAGGAUUCUGGCAUAUUACUGACAUUGAGACGCGAAAGCUAGGGGAGCAAACAGG
rnacentral:rRNA from 1 species